AUUUCUCAUUUUAGCUUAUAUGUAAGUUAACUAUUAUUUUAUUUAGCAAAUUGUAAUUCAUUUUAAUAUUUAAUUAAACCUUUUAAACUGAAUAAGAUAGUUGUUAAUUGAAAAUCUAGUUACAAAUUUUGAAAUAAUGUGGAAAAUAAAUUAACUUUUUUUUAAUCUUUACUGGAAAUAGGAAUUAACAGAUAAACAAGGAAAUUUGUACUAUCUGAGUAAACUACUAUAGUUAUGCACUGCUUAUAUAUUAUUAUAAACUGCAGUACAGAAAUACAGCUGACAAAUUUAUAAAAAUAUUAGCCGUUUAUUUCUUUAAAAUUUAAAUUAUGUUUAUUUCUUAAAGUGUAGGUGUAUCUGUAAUGCGGUUUCUUUUAUCCACAUUUAUGUUUUUACAUUUCAACGCAUGUUUUCUGUUCGUGCAUAUUCUGAAAUACAUCAUAGGUUUAAGCACGUAGAAUCGUGUAUUCAGAUUAAUUUCUGUUUUAGGGGGAUUUUUACACCACUCCUGAUCGUCACUUGGGGCCAGGGUGGAUUGAUAAAUGCAGGCCAGACCUGCUGAUUACAGAUUCUACAGAUGGUACUACAAUUAGCGACUCAAAAUGUUAUAGAGAAAGAGAUUUUUUGACCAAAGUACAUGACUGUGUCGAAAAGGUGGUAAAGUUUCCAUUCCAGUUUUUUCACUGGGUCCAGGUCAAGAGAUGUGCAUUCUUCUUUAAACUUACUGGGAGAAGAUGAAUCUUAAAAUACCCAUCUAUUUUGCUGUAGGUUUAACUGAAAAAACUACCACCUUUUAUAGGAUGCUCACAAGUUAGACCAACCAAAAAAUCAAGAAAAUAUUUGUGCACCAUAAUAUGUUUGAUUUCAAACAUAUCAAGCCCUUUGACUGUGCUUAUAUAGAUAAUCCUGGUCCUAUGGUUGUUUUUGAAACUCCAGGAAUGUUGCACUAUAUAUUAUCUGUUCAAAUAUUCAAAAUGCAAAUAACAUGGUUAGUGCUUUAUUUAUUAAUUUAUUUUUGUUUGCAAGUAUUAGUAAACAUAUUCUCAAUAGUCAUGUAUGUCAGAAUCAUUUUUCUUAAUCAUUCGAGCUCAAGUAUAACUCCUCAUACCACGUAACAUGUUUUUAUUUGUUGUGAAACAAGACCUAACUCUU